CCCUCCGGCUCAGGCCCCGCGGUACCCGCCGAGCGGCGAGGAGCGCAGGGAUGCACGGGGCGGCCUCGACCCCUCGCCGCAGGGCGAGGCCCGGGGGGCGCGCGGUGGACGCCGAACCCGCCCCGGGGAACGGCACAGGCACGUGCACACGGGUGCAGCCACCCCCGCGGGGCACCCUUCAAGUCCUUCGUGGCGACGGCACUUCUGUGGGGACUGUCCUCGUGUUCCACUGCCCCUCAGGCCACCAGAUGGUUGGGUCCGGCCUCCUCACCUGUGCUUGGAAGGGGAGCAUCGCCGAGUGGUCUUCAGUGAGCCCCGUGUGCAAGUCCGUGCCGCCGUAUGAGACCUUCGGCUUCAAGGUGGCCGUGAUCGCCUCCAUCGUCAGCUGCGCUAUCAUCCUACUCAUGUCCAUGGCCUUCCUCACCUCCUGCCUCAUGAGGUGCAUGAAGAGGAGUGAGCAGCCAUCCGACAGGGCAACCCAGCUGUGGCUCCAGCUGAGAGCCGGGGACUUGGAUACGGUGCAGGCCUCCUACCUCGGCCUCAAGGGCCCGAACAAUGGCGGCGGUGGUGGCAGGGACCCUGGGGUCCGCCCUGGCCAGGCGCACGACAACUACAGCUUCACCACAGACCUGGGUGAGGGCACCAGAGAAAUGGCUGGCAUGGCCCGUGGCGUGGACAAGGACCCCUGGACCACCCGUCCUGCUGGCUCACCCCGUGCCCAGGUGAUGGUGCACACGGCAGACCCGGGGCACACCCUGCCUGCCUCCUGGCCCGCUGCAGGAAUGUCCAGGCAGCAUGCGGCCUACGUCCCGGGGUGACUGAGGCAGAGGCCGGAGCCUGCCCUCCACACUGGGAAGACCAGGCCAACCCCACCACCCAGCCACCUGCAUAUCCACCUGGGCCCAGCUUAAGAGUGCACCUGGCACCCACCAUCCGAUACCGUCUGUCUAUGGACUUGGCUGCCAUAGGGAUCUCAUGUAAGUGGAAUCCUACAGUAUUUGACCUUUUGUGUCAGCUUAUCUCACGUAGUCUUUAAUGUUCUGUGCAACCAAUUUUGAACGUGUGGAGGGGGCUUCCCCGCACACCAACAAGCAGUUCUCAGAAACCAGCAGAGUGGCCUACAGUUCAACUCACUGCUGACCCUGUCUGCCAGGAGAAUUCGAUCCCACAAGCUGCGGGCUGUCCUAGAGUGUCCCCCACCUGCCAUGCUGCAGACGCCGGCCGUAAAUCCAGUUCUCACCCGUGCAUCUGACCAACUGGUUGUAAAUCAGAGGUUCCCACCAUCCCUUCCUUGGAUUGGACUAAUUUGCUAGAGUCGUUCACAGAACUCAGAAAGAUGCACAGGGCAGCAUGUGGAGAGAGGACACGGAGAGUCCAGGCACUCUCCAGGCAGACCACUCUCCCACACCAACGCGGAGGCUCUCUGACCCCUGUCCCUUAAGGCACGAUUGAUCUAUUCAUUGGCCCUUGGGGAUUGACUCAAGCUCCAGACCCUCUCCUCUCUCCUGAGGGGUGGAUUGCAAGUUCUAACCCUCCAAUCACAUGGAGGUUUCUCUGGGCCACCAGCCCCAUUCUUAGGUGACCUGGGGACAUUCCAAAAGUCGCCUCAUUAACAUAACAAAAGGCACCUUUUUCUCUCCUUUAGGAAAUCCCUAGGGUUUUAAGAGUUCUGCCAGGAGGAAGACCAAAUAUGUAUUUCUUACUGUUAAUCACAAUAUCACAUUCAACAUCAUGUCCUCAAGGCUCAUCCAUGUUGCAGUAGGUGUCAGAAUUUCCUUCCCUUUUAAGCCUGAACCCACUGUCUGGACACAGCGUAUAUACUAACCCGUUCCUCCGCUCACGCACACUGGCUGGCUUCUGCCUCUUGGCUACCGUGAAUAAUGCUGCUCUGAACACGAGUGUGCACACGUCUCUUGGAGACCCUACUGUUAAUUCUUUCGUGUGUACAGAGGCUGUUUUCAAACCUAUCAGUCAGAGAUCACCACGCCCUCGUCUCAGCGCAUAACCUCAAAUACUGGGCCCUGGCUGCCUGGCCCGCGAGACUCUGCAUGACUCCCCGGUCACCUCCCGACCUCACUGCUAUUGCAGAGUCCAGUCCAGCCGCCCAGACUGUCUCUCAAGCCUAGAAAGGUGGUCUGUGCUUGGGCUCCUGCAUGAUACUGUUCCCCAGCCAUCGUGUGGAGUUCUGCCUCCCUUUGGCCGGGCGUCUGCUUGGAUGUCUGGUGCAUUCGGUGUAUAACUGCCAGGUAACCAGUUACCCUGAAACACAGUGGUUCAAAAACAAUCGUCAUUAUCACCUGUUACUACAGCUCUCUGUUUCAUGUGAGGUUUGGCAGGGUGGCUCUGGCUCUCUGUUGAGGCUGGGGCUGUGGUCUCACCUGACGGCUGGACAGGCGGGGAUCCAUCCCUCGUCACUGUCCAGGUACUGCCCCCUUUAGGCUGAUCCCUCCUGGCUACUGGACGCCCACCGGCCUUUGUCCCAGGCUUGUCCUUGUUCCUCCUACAGACUGACCUGCGUGAC